rnacentral:rRNA from 2 species
GAAGGUGGCCUGUGAGGGUUGCUGGAGGUAUCAGAAGUGCGAAUGCUGACAUAAGUAACGAUAAAGCGGGUGAAAAGCCCGCUCGCCGGAAGACCAAGGGUUCCUGUCCAACGUUAAUCGGGGCAGGGUGAGUCGACCCCUAAGGCGAGGCCGAAAGGCGUAGUCGAUGGGAAACAGGUUAAUAUUCCUGUACUUGGUGUUACUGCGAAGGGGGGACGGAGAAGGCUAUGUUGGCCGGGCGACGGUUGUCCCGGUUUAAGCGUGUAGGUGUGUGUUCCAGGUAAAUCCGGUUCACUUUAACACUGAGGCGUGAUGACGAGGCACUACGGUGCUGAAGCAACAAAUGCCCUGCUUCCAGGAAAAGCCUCUAAGCAUCAGGUAACAUCAAAUCGUACCCCAAACCGACACAGGUGGUCAGGUAGAGAAUACCAAGGCGCUUGAGAGAACUCGGGUGAAGGAACUAGGCAAAAUGGUGCCGUAACUUCGGGAGAAGGCACGCUGACACGUAGGUGAAGUGAUUUACUCAUGGAGCUGAAGUCAGUCGAAGAUACCAGCUGGCUGCAACUGUUUAUUAAAAACACAGCACUGUGCAAACACGAAAGUGGACGUAUACGGUGUGACGCCUGCCCGGUGCCGGAAGGUUAAUUGAUGGGGUCAGCGCAAGCGAAGCUCCUGAUCGAAGCCCCGGUAAACGGCGGCCGUAACUAUAACGGUCCUAAGGUAGCGAAAUUCCUUGUCGGGUAAGUUCCGACCUGCACGAAUGGCGUAAUGAUGGCCAGGCUGUCUCCACCCGAGACUCAGUGAAAUUGAACUCGCUGUGAAGAUGCAGUGUACCCGCGGCAAGACGGAAAGACCCCGUGAACCUUUACUAUAGCUUGACACUGAACAUUGAGCCUUGAUGUGUAGGAUAGGUGGGAGGCUUUGAAGCGUGGACGCCAGUCUGCGUGGAGCCGACCUUGAAAUACCACCCUUUAAUGUUUGAUGUUCUAACGUGGACCCGUAAUCCGGGUUGCGGACAGUGUCUGGUGGGUAGUUUGACUGGGGCGGUCUCCUCCUAAAGAGUAACGGAGGAGCACGAAGGUUGGCUAAUCCUGGUCGGACAUCAGGAGGUUAGUGCAAUGGCAUAAGCCAGCUUGACUGCGAGCGUGACGGCGCGAGCAGGUGCGAAAGCAGGUCAUAGUGAUCCGGUGGUUCUGAAUGGAAGGGCCAUCGCUCAACGGAUAAAAGGUACUCCGGGGAUAACAGGCUGAUACCGCCCAAGAGUUCAUAUCGACGGCGGUGUUUGGCACCUCGAUGUCGGCUCAUCACAUCCUGGGGCUGAAGUAGGUCCCAAGGGUAUGGCUGUUCGCCAUUUAAAGUGGUACGCGAGCUGGGUUUAGAACGUCGUGAGACAGUUCGGUCCCUAUCUGCCGUGGGCGCUGGAGAACUGAGGGGGGCUGCUCCUAGUACGAGAGGACCGGAGUGGACGCAUCACUGGUGUUCGGGUUGUCAUGCCAAUGGCACUGCCCGGUAGCUAAAUGCGGAAGAGAUAAGUGCUGAAAGCAUCUAAGCACGAAACUUGCCCCGAGAUGAGUUCUCCCUGAGACUUAGAGUCUCCUGAAGGAACGUUGAAGACGACGACGUUGAUAGGCCGGGUGUGUAAGCGCAGCGAUGCGUUGAGCUAACCGGUACUAAUGAACCGUGAGGCUUAACCUU